CUCGGUAGUGUAAUGGAUCAGCACGACAGACCGGCUAUCUGUUAGUGCGGGUCCGAUUCCCGCCUGAG
rnacentral:tRNA from 1 species